AGGCCUUUGUCUGUUGAAUGGCCGGUAAAGAUCUUUUGGCAAUCUGUGGGCUUUCUGUUUAUCUUGAAAGCUAUGUCCUUUGCCAUGCAGAUGCUCUGUGGUUUGAUGCAGUCUUAUUUGUCCAAGAUUUUUUGAUUUGUUGUGUUUCUGGG